GAGGCCAUAAGUUAUGUUUAAACUGUUACUGUUCAAAAGUAACUAAGUAGGAAUCCUUCUGGCCUCG
rnacentral:tRNA from 1 species